rnacentral:rRNA from 1 species
UACGUAGGUGGCAAGCGUUGUCCGGAUUUAUUGGGUUUAAAGGGUGCGUAGGCGGUGUCCUAAGUCAGUUGUGAAAUACGGCAGCUUAACUGUCGAGGUGCAAUUGAUACUGGGAUACUUGAGUACUGAUGAGGUAUGCGGAAUGGACGGUGUAGCGGUGAAAUGCUUAGAUAUCGUCCAGAACACCGAUAGCGAAGGCAGCAUACUAGGCUGUAACUGACGCUGAGGCACGAAAGUGUGGGGAUCAAACAGG